rnacentral:rRNA from 1 species
UACGUAGGGGGCUAGCGUUGUCCGGAAUCAUUGGGCGUAAAGCGCGUGUAGGCGGCCCGAUAAGUCCGCUGUGAAAGUCGGGGGCUCAACCCUCGAAAGCCGGUGGAUACUGUCAGGCUAGAGUACGGAAGAGGCGAGUGGAAUUCCUGGUGUAGCGGUGAAAUGCGCAGAUAUCAGGAGGAACACCCAUUGCGAAGGCAGCGCGCUGGGACGUUACUGACGCUGAGACGCGAAAGCGUGGGGAGCAAACAGG